rnacentral:rRNA from 1 species
UCCUUUUCAUUUAGAGGAAGGAGAAGUGGUAACAAGGUUUCCGUAGGGGAACCUGCGGAAGGAUCAUUGUCGAAACCGGAAGAGAGAGGACCACCCGCGAAUCGUCACCGCGCACAGGGCGCGCGAGCCCCACGCGCUCGAGCGCCUCGCGUCGCGUCGGCGGGGGCCUCCUCGAGUCCCUCGUCGUCCCGGCGAGAAAACAAGGCCAGCACGGAUCGUGCCAAGGAGCUGAAUUUGAGGCGAUCGCCGUCCCGCGCCCCGGUCCUCGUCGACGCGGGGGGGGGGAACCGGGGCGAUCGCUCUCUGCCCCAAUACCGAAACGACUCUCGGCAACGGAUAUCUCGGCUCUUGCAUCGAUGAAGAACGUAGCGAAAUGCGAUACUUGGUGUGAAUUGCAGAAUCCCGCGAACCAUCAACUCUUUGAACGCAAGUUGCGCCCGAAGCCAUCCGGCAGAGGGCACGCCUGCCUGGGUGUCGUUAAUCCCCUUGCCCCAGGGCUCCCGCACGACCAUCGGCGGGGACAAUGCCCGGGCGCAGAGUGUAUGGCCUCCCGUCGGAUCGGCGUGCGCGCGGCAUCCCGCGGUGCGGUUGGCCGAAAGUCGAGCAUUGUGGCGACCGGCCCCACGGCGAUUCGGUGGAUCGAAUGCGAUUGGCUGCGCCGUGGGCUCGGCGGGCCGCGGCCUCCGGACUAGGACUAUCCCCGUGCGCGAUCCCAGGUCAGGCGGGGCUACCCGCUGAGUUUAAGCAUAUCAAUAAGCGGAGGAAAAGAAACUAACGAGGAUUCCCCUAGUAGCGGCGAGCGAACCGGGAGGAGCCCAGCAUGAAAAUCGUUCGCCGUCGGCGGCCGAAUUGUAGUCUGGAGAAGCGUCCUCAGCGACGGACCGGGCCCAAGUUCACUGGAAGGUGGCGCCGGAGAGGGUGAGAGCCCCGUCGUGCCCGGACCCUGUCGCACC